rnacentral:rRNA from 1 species
UACGUAGGGUGCGAGCGUUAAUCGGAAUUACUGGGCGUAAAGCGUGCGCAGGCGGUGGCUCAAGCCAGGCGUGAAAUCCCCGGGCUUAACCUGGGAAUGGCGUUUGGGACCGGGUCGCUAGAGUGUGGCAGAGGGAGGUGGAAUUCCACGUGUAGCAGUGAAAUGCGUAGAGAUGUGGAGGAACACCGAUGGCGAAGGCAGGCUCCUGGGCCAGAACUGACGCUCAUGCACGAAAGCGUGGGGAGCAAAAAGG